UUUGUUGCCAUGCAUGCUGUUACUGGUUCUUAUGCGAGACCAAAUUUUGUCGAUUAUCUUGGAGCCAAACUAGAUUCAAUUUCCAGUGGAGUUCCUCUAGAAGAUUUUGGACAUGGCCAUCCAGAUCCUAAUUUGACGUAAGAAAAAGACUAAAGGGAAGACUCACCAUAUACACUUAAUAUAUAAUUUUAUAAACCGUCUUAUAUAUAGAUACGCAAAUUGCCAGUGUAUAGAACACCAAGUCAAGAACAAUUGCCUGUUUUUUUUUUCUUUUUUCUUUUUGUCAACAAGAACAAUUGCCUGUCUAUCUUAGCAAUGGGGAGUCAAAACCAUGGAGCUCUUUUGCAGCUAUAGUUUGCUUCACAAGCAUAAA